UACGUAGGGUGCAAGCGUUGUCCGGAAUUAUUGGGCGUAAAGAGCUCGUAGGCGGUCUGUCGCGUCUGCUGUGAAAACUCAGGGCUUAACCCUGAGCUUGCAGUGGGUACGGGCAGACUAGAGUGCGGUAGGGGAGACUGGAAUUCCUGGUGUAGCGGUGAAAUGCGCAGAUAUCAGGAGGAACACCGGUGGCGAAGGCAGGUCUCUGGGCCACUACUGACGCUGAGAAGCGAAAGCAUGGGGAGCGAACAGG
rnacentral:rRNA from 1 species